UACGUAGGUGGCAAGCGUUGUCCGGAAUUAUUGGGCGUAAAGCGCGCGCAGGCGGCCUUUUAAGUCUGAUGUGAAAUCUUGCGGCUCAACCGCAAGCGGUCAUUGGAAACUGGGAGGCUUGAGUACAGAAGAGGAGAGUGGAAUUCCACGUGUAGCGGUGAAAUGCGUAGAUAUGUGGAGGAACACCAGUGGCGAAGGCGACUCUCUGGUCUGUAACUGACGCUGAGGCGCGAAAGCGUGGGGAGCAAAC
rnacentral:rRNA from 1 species